rnacentral:lncRNA from 1 species
CACCAUGCUUUUAGCGAUUACCAAUGGAUUGAUGACACUGUCGGUCUCAUUCUCCAUUCAUCCCUUCUUGUCCCGUACUUUUCGUGGAAAUAUAGUCACCGACGUCACCAUUCCAACACUGGUUCCCUUGAACGCGACGAAGUAUUUGUUCCGAAGAAACGGAGCAGCAUUAGAUGGUGGGCUAAAUACCUCAACAAUCCACCAGGUCGUUUCGUCACAGUCACCAUUCAGCUCACUCUCGGAUGGCCUCUUUACUUAGCAUUCAAUGUAGCAGGUAGACCUUACGAAGGACUCGCUUGUCACUACAACCCAUACGGUCCUAUCUACAACGACCGUGAACGACUUCAAAUCUACAUAUCCGACGUCGGUGUCCUUGCUGUCACCUAUGGGCUGUACCGUCUCGUGUUAGCCAAAGGUCUAGCUUGGGUCAUUUGCGUUUACGGUGUCCCAUUGCUCAUCGUUAAUGCAUUCCUCGUCAUGAUCACAUACUUGCAACACACUCACCCCGCAUUACCACACUACGACUCAUCCGAAUGGGACUGGUUAC